GGGAAGGUGAGGAGAGGGUUAAGCAGGUAUUGAGUCCACAUAUGCGAGCUUUGUUGUCUUUGUAGGAGCUGUGGAACAGCAGCGCAUUAUUAUUUCCUGACUCCUGUUUACUGGACUUCUUUGGCAGGUAUUCUCUUCUUAAGCUUCUGCCAUGGGUACUUCAUGUCUCAUUUCAAUGAUUGUUAUCUCUAUCAGGAGUUCUUCAUUAUUUUUAUCAUUGUCCUUCUUCAGUGUACUUUGAAUUGUUGAUGGAUUAGUUUCAGUUCAUCUACAGUGCAUAGUUCAUUGAGCACUCGAAGUUUCCUUUGUUCAUGGAGUGAAGUCUGCAGAGAACCAAUGUGGCAUUAGACAUAGCGAGCAUAGUCCGUUUUUAUGGUAAGGAAACCUAGGGACGGUCAAAAUAUUCGGAUGGAAAGUGCAAUUUUUCAGCAAAAUACAGUUCAGUUGUCAAAAGAAACCAUCUGAGCUGAGACAUUUAAUUGAUGAUGGUAUUGGGGUCAUUACCGGGGGUUGCAGGGGUGCAGCAUGAAGAAUUUUCUGAAGCACAUGAAUUACAUUAUAUAUAUACAUACAUAUAUAUAUAUAUAUAUGCAUGUAUGCAUAUUGCCAUGUGCAUUUUGUAAUGAUAUAGCUAAAUUAUUGUCAUUGUUAGUGUUAGUGAAGGCUUAAGCAAAAGCCAAAAAGCAAAAAUUGGUCAUGGAAAACUUCAAGGUCGAGCAUGCAAAGAUGCAGUUUGUAUGCUUCAUUCUUUUCACCUACCAUCUGUGCCAUAUUGAUAUCCAAAUCUCAUUCUUUGUCGGUCAGUUAUUAUCGUGUCUUGAGAUAUUCCGUAGAAUUUAUGUGUAGGGGAGAUUGGAGCAAGAGGGAACGCCUGGAUGACGUUUUUCUUCCUGGGCUUGGGUCUUUCAAAGUUGACUGUAUUUCUAAGUUGACAUAUGAAUUUAUUGUCCCAAGAGAUAAAGACAGCGGGCAGAAAGGUUUGUCAAUCAGUUCUCUUUGUCAGUAGUAUAUGCUCUUCCCCUAAAUAUAAUUUACUUGGUUCUUCUGCUUUCACAAUUAGUAGAAAGAAAUAAUAUCGAGGCAAGAGAGUUCUUGGAUAUAUGAGAAUCAGGGCAUUGCUCUGUAAAAGCAUUCUUAUUCUGGUUUUUUGCACGAAUUAUUUCAUUUUUUUAAAUACUUUUAUUCCCCGAUAUUGUUCAAAAUUGUUAGUGAAUCAUAAAUAAAUGGGUCUAUAUUGGAUGGCUAAAUUCGAUCUUUCUAGUGCCAAUCCUCAAUAUGCUUGUAAUUGUGAUCAGUAACACAGUAAAUUCAAGGGGAUGCUGAUAAUUUUGAAAUGGUGUAAAAGCGUCUCAUUUGUCUAUCUGUAUGUGGAGAAUUUCUCAGACAUGCUCUUAUCAACGUAUGAUGCUGAUCACGGUUGAUUCUCAGAUUAGUCUCAUUCAUGAGCUCUUAUAACUCAAGAAAUCGCUCACUAUGGAGCUAGAGCAACUCAGCUUAGUGAGUAUUCUUAACUCAUGAAAAGACCAGUCUUUACACACACACACACACACGCAUAUGGAUGUACUUUUAUGUAAAUAGAUAUGGACAGUAGUAUAUACGGACGUCCAGCUAUACUCUGUCUUUUGCCAUCUGUAAGAUAUUCAGGCCGACCGAAUCGGAUCCGCCUUGUGGGACCAGACAUGACCCGACUUGAGCAAACUGACAAGAUUGGUUAGUAUCUUUCAGUUGUAACAUGCUAUUUCUCAUGGUAAGUAGUUAUUGCAGAUAUUUGUGGGACCCAUUAAUCGGGUAAUAUACGCAGUAACCACACAAAAUAUAAGCAGUGACCACCAGACACGCGAAAGAAAAGAUCAAUGAGUGAAUUUGCUCCUGAAUAAUGAGUAUGCGUAAGGAUUUUUGUGUUGUGAAGAGUGCAGUCCUUGCUCAUCUUGUAGCGAAGGCCCCAUUGCCAGGAUUACUUGUUUGCUAUUGUUGUAGCUUGUAGGUGACUGGCAGGGCGACGUUCUUGUCACCUAGUGGAAUCCCACUUGCGUCCCUUCGCGGAGACAUUCAUAAGCUGGGUUCAUGAUCAUUCUUCCUGAUCUCGGAGGCGCUAAUCGGAAGCUUCAUUCAGUGACAUUAACCAAGGAGUACAAUCUGGAUUUUUGUUCCAGAAGUUGAGGCACCUCUGAUCGUUCGUCAUCCCCGACUCUCUACAUCUCUUCCCCCACCACCAGUGCCACUGUGAAGACUCCGUGAUUGCCCGGUGACCGUCCGUUCAAGUGAAUUCGACGACCGUCCGCCUUCUCUGCUCGUCUGUUGUAGUCCCUUCUCUACCCGUUCGUCAUCUAGCCUUCUUCAUCUGAUGAUUUUCCAAUUCCUAACUAUUGAGUGCCAUUGAUUUUCCAUUGUUACAUCGAUGGUCCAAUAGGUUCAAUUUAGUGUGUGGGCGUUAUUGGCAACUUGAAGUAAUCAUCAUCCUCGUCGUCUCUGUGCAAUUUGCUGGUUUUCUUGAAUUCCCAUAUGCCUAUUGUCCCUGCAGACAUAUGCUAGUCAUCUCGAACGAACCCAGUAACACCCACACUCCCGACAACUUCCUGCAAGCCACACGCCAAGGGACUCCUUACAGCUACACGACCGACAAUUGUCCUCGACAAAGGGGGUCAAUUAUGGUCAGCACAUCUAAUUCCUUUUGACGGAUGAGGCAUUUAUUUAUUAAGAGGUGCUGAUGAAAACUUGCGUGCCUAUUAACCAGCUCCCUCUGUAAUUGACAGGUUGUAUAUCAUCUUGUAGUACUCUUCCCCUGACUGUUGAUAGGUACCCAGCUCAAGCAAGAGAUGUAUUUGGGUGGUUCCAUUUGUACCUCAAUGGUAUGUCCAGGAUGUAAAAACUCCUAUUACCUCGAUAAUUGUUAUUUUAAUAUCUUCAAAGCUUUGAGGGGUGGUUCUUCGAUUUUCUUGUAUGUUGCACGAGGAGUCAACAACUACUAUACAGAAAUAUUAUUAGACAGACGUGAUCCUUAGAAAGAAUCCGUGUAGCCUUGGGGCAUGCCCAUAUUGUUGAUUGAAUACAGGAAUAUAGUGUUAGUACUG